GACGAACGCUGGCGGCGUGCCUAAUACAUGCAAGUCGAGCGAAUCAACAGGAGCUUGCUCCUGUUGAUUAGCGGCGGACGGGUGAGUAACACGUGGGCAACCUGCCUGUAAGACUGGGAUAACACCGGGAAACCGGUGCUAAUACCGGAUAAUCUUUUUCCUCUCAUAAGGAAAAACUGAAAGUCGGUUUCGGCUGACACUUACAGAUGGGCCCGCGGCGCAUUAGCUAGUUGGUGAGGUAACGGCUCACCAAGGCGACGAUGCGUAGCCGACCUGAGAGGGUGAUCGGCAACACUGGGACUGAGACACGGCCCAGACUCCGACGGGAGGCAGCAGUAGGGAAUCUUCCACAAUGGACGAAAGUCUGAUGGAGCAACGCCGCGUGAGCGAUGAAGGCCUUCGGGUCGUAAAGCUCUGUUGUUAGGGAAGAACAAGUACCGGAGUAACUGCCGGUACCUUGACGGUACCUAACCAGAAAGCCACGGCUAACUACGUGCCAGCCGCCGCAGUAA
rnacentral:rRNA from 1 species